GUAAAUUGGGAUAACUUGAUGUUUGCGGCGGGUGAUGAGAUUGUGGUUACCAGGAUGGGGAAAUUCUCGUGCAUGAAAUACUCCAUGACCACUCGAAAAUGGAGACAUGUAAAAGAACAAUUCUUGCCAUUCCCAACUCAACCCUUUGAAAGCACCGACUUCAGCUCAAUUUCAGAUGGCAGCAAUUUCUACGUCUUUGGUGGCAAAGGUGUUAAAAGCAUGGAAUCCGUAGCCGAAGCUAUGUGUUACAAUUAUGCUGAGAAGAAGUGGAAAAAACUUCAAGAACUGCCCCAACCACUGCGACAGGGUGCAACCUGCUGCAUCCAGUUACCUAGCAACCUUGCAAAAUGCCACAUCAAGUGCCCCCAUUGCAUUUUCUUCCCAAGUCGCAGCAGGGCCAAGUAUGACGUCCAUUACCAGAGAGAGGAAGAUGACGACGAAUAUGAUUAUGAUGACGGUAGCGGGUACACCUUUGAUGACGACUACGUCUCGGACGGGCUUUGGAGUGACGGAGUUCCAGAUUAUUUGGAUGAUGACGAAUACGAUGACUAUGAAAAUUGGUUUAUCUGACUUCUUAUGAAAAUAAGGGACAAUCCAGUUCAAUUUCAUUCAGUAUUUGAGUUUAAAGUUUAUAUCUGUGCCAUGUGUUUGACGUUCUGUUCAUACUUGCAUUUAUUUCAAGUUCAGUGAUUCUUGUAGAGAAGGGUUUUUUAAAUAAAAACCAUUAUAUUACCACAAGGACUUGAUGUUAAAAACAUUUCUUUUUAAAAGCAAAGAUUUUUUUCCAUGAAAAAUAACGUUAGCAUUGUGUAGAGAAUUUAAACACCGCUAAAAAGAAAUGAUUUUAAUGUAAGAGAGCCUCUGUAUAUAACAUGAUAAUGUAAAUACAUGUAUUGUAGUUUAAAAGAACUUUUUAGAAAAAAAAUACUGUGAACAAUGUUUUUUUUCUGUUUUUCAGGUUAGUCUAAGUAGCUAUUAGUAAACUGAUAUUAAAGUGAUUUUAAAAGGAUGUUUGCAGAGUUUAUUUACAACUCAUUUUUAUACUCAAUAAUUCUUGUUGAGACCUCUGACAGAUUCUCUGGCAAACCCAUCUUGCGUAUCCUGUAAUGUUUGUAUACAGGGUAAUUUUCGCCUUUCUACACUUGCAAACAAUUUUGUCCCAUCAAUUUUAUUAAGACACAGCUGUGUUUAAAGAGAAAUAAUUUAAGACAUUGGAAUUUGCCUUGUCUUACAUCUGCCUGCUGACAAGGAGGGUGAAAGGGGCAAAAAUAAAACGAGGGUGAAUUUUUCCUUGUAUACAGUAAAUAUUCCUAGGCACCUGAUCAUACCUCUAUCUUUUUGGAGGUCCGUGUUGCUCUGCUUUGAAUUUGUAUUUCGUUUUAUGGAUUUUUGAGAUGGUUGAAGGUUUGUUAUUGUCAUUUUUUCAUACUAUAGUUUUUUCCUGGUUGGGUUGGCAAAGGCAGCAAUCACUUCAGGUGGGGAUUAUUCAGAUAAAGCCAUCUUUUGAAAUGUAAGAAGUUCUAAUACCAGUAAUUUUACAGUAAAAUGAUGGCUUGGGGAAAUGAUUUCUUUACAAAACUGGUACUUUUUAUUUAACGCUAUUGGUUAACAAGAGGCCCAUGGGCCACAUCGCUCACCUGAAGAACAAUAGGUAUGAUAAAAUCAGCUCAAUGGAGUCAUAAUACAAACUAUCUGGACAAUGUACAAUAAUACAUGUAGACCCUGUAUAAAUAAAAUCCAUUUUUCCCCCUG
rnacentral:misc_RNA from 1 species